UACGGAGGGGGCUAGCGUUGUUCGGAAUUACUGGGCGUAAAGCGCACGUAGGCGGCUUGGUAAGUUAGAGGUGAAAGCCUGGAGCUCAACUCCAGAAUUGCCUUUAAGACUGCCGAGCUAGCAGGUGAGAGAGGUGAGUGGAAUUCCGAGUGUAGAGGUGAAAUUCGUAGAUAUUCGCAAGAACACCAGUGGCGAAGGCGGCUCACUGGCCCGGUACUGACGCUGAGACGCGAAAGCGUGGGGAGCGAACAGG
rnacentral:rRNA from 1 species